UUAUGUUGAACAAUUUAGGGAAGGAUCAUUUUUCUCUAGGGUCGGUCUUCGAUCUGGUUAUUACCAGUUGAAGACUCGAAAGGAGGAUUUCCUAAAACAGUUUUGGUACCGAUGACUUUGUAAUUGUUUUAAUUAAGGGUAUUGUGAUUUCUUCGGAUCCAAGGGAGGCAUAUGAGAGACACCCUUGGAUGAUGUUGUAAUGUCUCUAGAAGCAUAAGUUUUAUGCUAAAUGUAAGAAAUGCAAGUUUUGCAGAUCCCAAAGUUGCAAUGAAGGUUAGAGAUUUUUCUGGAAUUAACAGGAUACUACAGAAUAUUUGUUGGGGGUUGUCAACGCCCUUAGUGGAAUCAAAUCAAAAGAAUUGAAACAGAGAUUAACUAUUAUACCAAUGUUAACAUUGUUAGUCAGUGAGGGGAGAAUGUGAUUUGAUGUGAUACUUCUAUACAAGGAUUAGAUUGUAUUCUGACACAAUUUAGGAGAGUUGUUGCCUAAUUACUUAGACCAAUUGAAGGAGUAUGAGAAGUGAUAUUUUAGUCAUGAUAUUGAAUUGGCUGUAAUCGUUUUGCACUGAAAGUUUGGCACCAUUUUCUAUAUGGUGAAAAUGUGAAGUCUAUACAGAUCACAAAAGCCUCAAAUACUUUUCUUUUGGAAGAAUUUAGAUGGGAGGCCGUGGUGACGGUUAAAGUUGAUUGAAAUUUUUAACGGUGUGAUUUUCUACCACUCUGGGAAGUAAAUUAGUAGUAAAUACCUUAAACUAAAGAGGUCUAGGACAAGUUUGUAAAACAAAAAGAUCUCACUAAAGGUUGCUAGAAAUGUAACCAGAAUAGGGAUUAAGUUCAUGAUUGGAGAACUAGUUAAUCUUACAUUGUAGUUUAUUAUGUUGGAAAGAAAUAGAGUGGCCGAGCAGAGUGACUCUGAACUUUAGAAGUACAAGGAAAGGCUUGGAACCGGAUUGACAAAGAACUUUUUGAUUUUGUUUGAAGGAAUUUUAUGAUAUAAAGACAAGGUUGGUGUAUCAGUCUGAUAAGGAUAUUGAAUAGAAGGUUCUAAGUGAGUUUCAUACUACACUAUACUCUUUAUACUCGGGAGUAACUAAGAUAUAAGAUCACUACAAAUUUUUUAUAUUUUUUUUAUUAUUAGAGUGGAAUAUGUUUGUGGCAGAUUAGUGUGCUAAUCUAUUUGUCAAGGGAAUAGUUCAACCCUGUGAUGCUCUGAAAGUAAUUAUCUCAGAUUGAGAUUUAAAGUUUACAUCUAAAUGCUGAGAGAGUCUGUAACAAGCAUGUGUGAUAUAUUUUGAGGGUCAGAGACUUAGAAUUUUUUUUUAGUACCACCUAAGAGAGGGGUGCAUAAUGUCUUCCACAUAUCUAUGUUAAGAAAGUAUUUGUCAGAUCCGACACAUAUUUAAGUUACGAUGAUAUUAAAUUCCAUACAACUGAUUUUACGAGGAAGCGACUUGGGAAUUAGAGUCGCAGAUGAGGGAGCUGUAUCCCCAAAUUAUCAAGUAAAUUUCGAGGACGAAAUUUUUAUAAGGAGGGGAUGGUUGUAAUAUCCCAAUAAGCCUUAUUGUAAGUAAUUAGGAUUUAUAAUUAUAUUAUGGAUUAAUCAGGUUAUAAGUGGGAUUAUGAUCCUACUAAUCUAGUUCAACAUAAAUUUUAAAUUUUGCUAUAAGUGAGUAAAUAAGCGUAAUUUAUAAACUACGGAGAUUUAUAUAGUAUGUCUGAAUGUAAUAUAAGAUAAAUGUGGAAUAAAAAUAUUUGCAGGUUUGGCGACCUUGGAGACUCGAUCGGGGGCCAAAAAUAUCAUAACAGGUUUAAUUAUUAGUUUUAAUGGGAAUAUUGUGAUUAGUUGAUAGUGUAUGUAUUGGGGGUAAUAAGGAGUAUGUAGAAUUUAACUUAGCGCCCUAGAAGUAUAGAUUUCUUAAUGGCUAAGAAAUAAUAAAAUAAUUAUUAAUAAUAAAGUUUCUAUUAAUAUUAUUAUUAUUAUUAUUUUAUUAUUAUUAUUAUUAUUAUUAUUAUUAUUAUUAUUAUUAUUAUUAUUAUAUUAAAAUUUGAAGUUAUCUGUAUAUAUAUUAAAACUUUGAAAAAGAAAAAAAACUAACCUAUCCUAUCUCUCUCGCUCCUCUUCGUGCCACAAAAAAACCACCAUCCUCAUCCUUUUUUUUCUUCAAUCUUUAGCCUAAAACCAGCUCUAGCAGCAGCUGUGAGCAUAGGUAAGUUCAAGGAAAAAGAAACUUGAGGGCCCGGGAUGAUCGAUCGUUCUCCAAGCAGGUCGGCCAACAUACCUAAACCAGAAUUUGAGGUAAGGAAGUUAGAAGCUGUGUUCGGCCAUGAGUCAGAGGUCUCCCAGCAAUGUACAUAUCAGCCGUGGGGUCUUGGCUUCUGGGAAGCAGGAUCGAAUUCCUUUCUAUGUUUGGAAAUGUAAUCUAUUGUAAAAGAAUAUUUUUAUUUUAUAAAUAGGGGAUCCUAUUUUACGAUAGUAUUUAAAAUGAAAGUCUUUAUUUUGAAUUUAAUUAAAGAUUUAAAUUAAACCACACUGUUUUUUUUUCAAAAUUUAUAGAUUAGUGAUAAUAAAC